AUUGAACGCUGGCGGCAGGCCUAACACAUGCAAGUCGAACGAGUGGCGGACGGGUGAGUAAUGUCUGGGAAACUGCCUGAUGGAGGGGGAUAACUACUGGAAACGGUAGCUAAUACCGCAUACCAUCAGAUGUGCCCAGAUGGGAUUAGCUAGUUGGUGGGGUAAUGGCUCACCCAGGCGACGAUCCCUAGCUGGUCUGAGAGGAUGACCAUCCCAACUGGAACUGAGACACGGUCCAGACGCCUACGGGAGGCAGCAGUGGGGAAUAUUGCACAAUGGGCGCAAGCCUGAUGCAGCCAUGCCGCGUGUGUGAAGAAGGCCUUCGGGUUGUAAAGUACUUUCAGCGAGGAGGCGUUACCCGCAGAAGAAGCACCGGCUAACUCCGUGCCAGCCGCCGCGGUAAUAC
rnacentral:rRNA from 1 species